rnacentral:tRNA from 1 species
GGGCUCGUAGCUCAGCCAGGCAGAGCACCGGGCUUUUAACCCGAUGGUCGAGGGUUCAAAUCCCUCCGAGCCCG